GGUUGAUAUAUAUUUCUUCUAUAAAAUUUGAAACUCUUAAGCUUUCUUAAGAAAUUCCCUUGCUUUUUCACAUGAUUAUUUGUCAUUGCUAGUCCAUCUAGUAGCCAUUGCCGGAGAUGCUGAACCGCUGACAUUCUCUUUAUUGAUUUCAGUUGUUGUAAGUUCCUGUUCAUUCAUGUUGGAGGUGAUGAGCCAAACCCAGAGUCGCCUAGAGGAGAUUUCGGGUACUCAAAAAAGUCAUACACCAGAAGCUCCACCGACACCAUCUAUGUCAUGCUUCAAGCAAUAGUCGAAAGCAGAUCAUUUAUAUUGUGCUUCAAGCCAACUCUACAUUCGAUCGGAGCUUACAUCCCAACUUAAAACCGAUUGGUAGCAACCUCAGCCUCUUGCUUAGUCUCCUCUUGACCAACAUCCAUACGCUUCACUACCAUUUCCAAGCAAAAUAUGAACUUAUGAAGCCCUUGAUGUCUCUUCCUCCAAUGAUGUCUUGCAGCUUCUCUAUUCGCAGUGACACAAUGUUAUUGAGUGAGAAUCUCUUUUUUCUGGCUUUUCGAUUUCCACUCUAAUCUAUAUUAACCAACCCUUUUUUGGGUAGGAGAAAAACUAGCUCAAUAGAUUUCAUUACAACAUAUAUCAAUAGAAGGCAUAUUCUUUUUACAUGCACUUUAAACCAGAUAAGUCGUAGAAGGCAUAUUCUAGAAGUUAUGAUUUAUAUGUUAAUUUAUUCAUUAUAUUCUAUUAUACAUUUUUAGGAUUAAAAAAAUCUUGGUUCAAAUAUCUGAAGUAAGAAGAAGUGUAUCACUUGUUAUUUGAUAGAAUUAUUAAUAUAUUAAUUGCAAAUUGUCCCUUUAUAACUUGAUCAUCGUUGAAUAUUUCAUAAGUGGGCAUUAUACAGAAGUUUUAAGGAGAAAAUAAAAUAUGAAGUUAGGGAUGUGGAAUUGGGAAGAGUUCAUGUAGAUGACUUCAAGUUCAGGUUAAAUACAAAAAUACAAAUUGAUUUGUUUGGUUAUAUCCAUAAAUAGUUACUGAAGAUGCAGGGUAAGUGUAUGAAGAAAUAUCGAAGAGAUAAGCAAGAUAACAAGGUAAGUACUUCGCUCUUUGUGUUUGGUUGUGUGCUGGUUUCUGAAUUUAAUUAUGUCUAUUAUUUCUAGCUUAACCACCGAAAAGAAAAUUUGAAAUUAUGUUAAAAACCCAUACACUUUGUUGGCAUUUCAGACAUCGUUAUUUAUUUUUUUGAAGAUAAGUAUCUUUCACAUGCACCUUACUCUAUCUCCAUGCCUGAGUCCUAUGUCUUCUAUGUAAUACACGAAAAUUGUUAAAGCAAUGAAAUUCAUAAAUUCCUCCUCCGAUUGUCUCCUGAUUGUUCUCCAUAUAUGAUAAGUCCUUGCUUUUAAUCCAUAGCCCAAAGGGCUCAGAAAUCCAAGUAGGAAAUUUAACUACAGAUUGUGCUUUCUUGAAUACACCCAAUAAGUAAUAACCACCCUCCCCUCCCCCACCCAAAAAUAAAGAAGAAAAAGAAAUAGAAAACAGAGGAAAGAAGGGCGGAGGGAGGAAAGAAGGAUCUUUCUAGUAUGCAAUUCAGUCUAAGGAUGAUAUUCCAUUCCUUGGACCAUAUUAUGGUGAAGGGUUUCAUCUCAUUUGUUGAGGUUUAUGAAAAGUGAAAGAUAUAAUUUUUCACUCCGGCGAUGUUGUUUGAAGUGUCUUCGUUGAUAGGAAACUUAGCUUUUUUUUUCUAGAUUUUCAAUAGUAGUUUAGGUUUUAUAAGAUUGGACAUAUUCAAAUCUCUUGCAAAGUUCUAUAGUUUUUCUUGGAUUUAUAGGUUUAUUUAUUUCCCAUAUUUUUGUCUAUCCAUAGAAAAGCUAUUAUCUAUAUGCUGGGUGUAGUGUAAUUGCAUAUUUUUCUACUAUUUUAAAUGAAAAUAUCCCUCCAAGUUGUUGAGAUGGUCACUUGGCAGCCCUCAAAGUAGUUGGUGUGGGAUCAAAUCCAUGAAGCAACUGGCUCUCCAUGGUAUGGCUAGUGGGCUUCACAUGCACCUUGUGGCUUGCUCUACCCUAUACCCUGAUUCCUUUGUACUGUAAUAU